UUAGUGGCGAACGGGUGAGUAACACGUGAGUAACCUGCCCUUGACUCUGGGAUAACCUCCGGAAACGGAAGCUAAUACCGGAUAUGACGUACGGAGGCAUCUCCUGUACGUGGAAAGAACUUCGGUCAAGGAUGGACUCGCGGCCUAUCAGGUAGUUGGUGAGGUAACGGCCCACCAAGCCUACGACGGGUAGCCGGCCUGAGAGGGUGACCGGCCACACUGGGACUGAGACACGGCCCAGACUCCUACGGGAGGCAGCAGUGGGGAAUAUUGCACAAUGGGCGCAAGCCUGAUGCAGCAACGCCGCGUGAGGGACGACGGCCUUCGGGUUGUAAACCUCUUUUAGUAGGGAAGAAGCGAAAGUGACGGUACCUGCAGAAAAAGCACCGGCUAACUACGUGCCAGCAGCCGCGGUAAUACGUAGGGUGCAAGCGUUGUCCGGAAUUAUUGGGCGUAAAGAGCUCGUAGGCGGUUUGUCGCGUCUGCUGUGAAAACCCGAGGCUCAACCUCGGGCCUGCAGUGGGUACGGGCAGACUAGAGUGCGGUAGGGGAGAAUGGAAUUCCUGGUGUAGCGGUGGAAUGCGCAGAUAUCAGGAGGAACACCGAUGGCGAAGGCAGUUCUCUGGGCCGUAACUGACGCU
rnacentral:rRNA from 1 species